ensembl:rRNA 5S_rRNA 5S ribosomal RNA
GUCUACAGCCAUGCCACCCUGAAUGUGCCCGAUCUCGUCUGAUCUCGGAAGCUAAGCAGGGUCAGGCCUGGAUGGUACUUGGAUGAGAGAUCACGUAAGAAGACGAGGUGCUGUAAGUG